GGUAGUCCACGCCGUAAACGAUGUCGACUUGGAGGUUGUGCCCUUGAGGCGUGGCUUCCGGAGCUAACGCGUUAAGUCGACCGCCUGGGGAGUACGGCCGCAAGGUUAAAACUCAAAUGAAUUGACGGGGGCCCGCACAAGCGGUGGAGCAUGUGGUUUAAUUCGAUGCAACGCGAAGAACCUUACCUACUCUUGACAUCCAGCGAACUUUCCAGAGAUGGAUUGGUGCCUUCGGGAACGCUGAGACAGGUGCUGCAUGGCUGUCGUCAGCUCGUGUUGUGAAAUGUUGGGUUAAGUCCCGCAACGAGCGCAACCCUUAUCCUUUGUUGCCAGCGAUUCGGUCGGGAACUCAAAGGAGACUGCCGGUGAUAAACCGGAGGAAGGUGGGGAUGACGUCAAGUCAUCAUGGCCCUUACGAGUAGGGCUACACACGUGCUACAAUGGCGCAUACAAAGAGAAGCGACCUCGCGAGAGCAAGCGGACCUCACAAAGUGCGUCGUAGUCCGGAUCGGAGUCUGCAACUCGACUCCGUGAAGUCGGAAUCGCUAGUAAUCGUGGAUCAGAAUGCCACGGUGAAUACGUUCCCGGGCCUUGUACACACCGCCCGUCACACCAUGGGAGUGGGUUGCAAAAGAAGUAGGUAGCUUAACCUUCGGGAGGGCGCUUACCACUUUGUGAUUCAUGACUGGGGUGAAGUCGUAACAAGGUAACCGUAGGGGAACCCUGC
rnacentral:rRNA from 1 species